rnacentral:tRNA from 1 species
GGGUUCGGCCGGGAUUUGAACACGGGACCUCUCGCACCCGAAGCGAGAAUCAUACCCCUAGACCACCGAACC